ACUUUCAGUUUCCGGAAGAGUUGGAAUUAUAAACAUGUGCCACCAUGACUUGUUUCAUGAACUAUUAGAACAUGCAAAAGACUUUAUGAAGCUAGAUAACCAUCUAUUUUAGGAAGACAAAAUAAAUGAACUUCAUUUUUUGUUGAUUCCAAUUUGCACUUAUCAUUGAUGAGCCAUUAAAAACAAACUUUAGUUCCCCUAUCUUUUUAAUCUUUAGAUUUACAUAGAGUACUACAGUAGUGUUGAUUAAUAUAAUUUACCUUAAUGUCAGAAAAACAGUAAAAAAAGCCAAGAAAUUUCCUCAUGGUAGGAAGCCUAACUCCAACACCCAAGCUGUUGUGCUGUCAUGAGAUAGCCAGCCUUACAAAAUAAAUUUAUUUAUUUAUUUAUUUUGGGUCUG